rnacentral:ncRNA from 1 species
AAAGGUCUUGGUCUUAAACCUAUUAUUAUUUAUACCCCCUAAUUAUACAUGCAAGCCUCACCAUAACGGUGAAACAGCCCACCACACAGGUUACGGAGCAGGUAUCAGGCAUCCAACCCACAACACCAAGCAAAACAUUAAGCCACACCCACACGGGCCCGCAGCAGUAGUUAAUAUUAGGCAAUAAGCGAAAGCUUGACCCAGUAAGGGGGUUUUAGGGCCGGUUAAUCUCGUGCCAGCGACCGCGGUUACACGACAGACCCAAGAUAAUUCACAAACGGCGUAAAGCACGACUAAGCAACAGUAAAUCAACCUAGGAGUGAAAGGGUUCCGGGCCGUAAAAAGCCAUAAGACAAACUAACCACAUCUCCUAACAACCAAACAACUCUGACUCGUGAAAGCUAGGAUACAAACUAAGAUUAGAUACCUUACUAUGCCCAGCCAUAAAAAGGCAAUUAAUUAACUAAUUGUCCGCCAAAUAACUACGAGUACAAACUUAAAAUUUAAAAGACUUGACGGUACUUCAUAACAACCUAGAGGAGCCUGUCUAAUAACCGAUAUCCCACGAUUAACCCAACCCACUCUAGCCUACCAGUCUAUAUACCGCCGUCGCCAGCUUACCUUGUGAAAGAAAUAAAGUAAACAAAAUAGGUCACCCCUAACACGACAGGUCGAGGUGUAACCAAUGAGGGGGUAAAAGAUGGGCUACAUUUUCUUAAACAGAAAACACGAAUCAACUAUGAAAACAAAAACUGAAGGCGGAUUUAGCAGUAUGUUAGGAACAUAAUACCAAACUGAAAUCAACGCAAUGAAGUGCGCACACACCGCCCGUCAUCCCUGUAAAAACUAACAAAAAUUAAUAAACACAUAACACAUUUUUAAAACAGGGCAAGUCGUAACAUGGUAAGCGUACUGGAAAGUGCGCUUAGAAA